GCGCACUCCGGCAGCCCAUAUGCUUUGAUUGGAACAGUGCAGAGAUUAGCACGGCUCCUGUACAAGGAUGUUAUGAAAAUCUGUGAAGCGUUCCACAUGAAA